UUAAUUUUGCUAAAUCAUUCCCGUCUGGAGAUUGUAUAUUUUAAGUUGCCUCUCCAAGCAACACAGAGGUACAGUGUCAGAGAGCCUGAUCUCAAAACCAGGCAAAGAGAUGUGAAAGCUGUAAAGGCCCCAAGCCACAAGAAAGACAGAAAAGGAACAGGGUGGGGUCCUGGCUUAAAUGAUAUUAGCCUUCAGGGUGUAUGCAGUAACUGGGAAGAUGCAAUGGGAGACAUAACCUUUCUCUCAUGGUGAGUGUAAGACUUUUUGUAUGUUUGUGUUUUAAAAAGUUAAUAUCCCUUUGAAAGUUCUAAAGGUGACUUCCUGGGAAAUGUGAACUACCAUGAAAUUUUACUGGAAAAGAGAUUCCAAGGCAAGAGACUUCAAAGUGAGAUUUGUCCAUCAUAAAUAUGAAGGAAUCAGCCUGUAGGCAAACCACGGGGUGAGGCCGGGAAUGCCUGGGUGAGGGUGCAUGUGCACGUGGGAGGGGUGCUGAGCACCCUCUCUCAGUGCCAACCCCCCGCCCCCUGGAGAAAGGUUUUUAUCCUUUAAGAGAACUGCAGAUGGUUUUGGUAUAUAAUAUAUAAUAUGACCUGUUAAGAUUAUACCAAUGAAAUUGGUUUCCUGGAAGACCAGAAGCCUGGACUGUCACCACACCUCCAACCACUCGAUGCCACUACUUCCGAAUCAUGGGACUUGCCUGUCCACUCAGGACUGUGGGACUCUUGGGGAAAUUGCCCAGGCCAUGUUUCACAAACUAGGCCCUGGAACUCGUGGGAAAGGAGCUGUCUUGACUCAUAAGAAAGGGGGCGCUCCAGGUUUCGUUAUGCGUUUUCUAGAGGUACAGAUGAGGUAGGGUGAAGGAGAUAGAGUUCAUGCCUGAAAUAAGGAAAGAGAAAAUUAUCGGGAAAAUAUGUCUUUAGCUAUUCAACCCAGUCCCUUGGGUUAAGAAGGAAUUUAGGAGCCCGGUUUUCCUGAUACCUUUUUUUUUUUUUUUGCGGUACGCGGGCCUCUCACCAUUGUGGCCUCUCCCAUUGCGGAGCAGAGGCUCCCGACGCGCAGGCUCAGCGGCCAUGGCUCACGGGCCCAGCCGCUCCGUGGCAUGUGGGAUCUUCCCGGAUCGGGGCACGAACCCGAGUCCCCUGCAUCGGCAGGUGGACUCAAGCACUGCACCACCAGGGAAGCCCUGAUACCUUCUUAAUUUUGAUAAAAGCAUGGAUUUAAAAACAACGACAACAACAACAGUGGACUGUCAUUGUCAUUUCAGGAUCCAUCAGUGUUUUCCGAUAAAGCUGUAUCAGUAAUAAUAUUUUUUAAAGAUGUACUUUCAUUUUAAGUAGAGAAGAAAAAAAGAAAAGUGAAAAACACACUUUAGCCACUUCAUCUCAUUCAGUUGAAUUUUUCAGGCAAACUACAAACAAGAAUGAUAAAGUCAUUCAGCCUCUGUUAUCCCAAAUGUCCCUAAUGUUUUCCUAAGUAUGUAAUUUACUCUCAUAGCAACUGCAUCAGGAAGACAAAAACCAACAGAAUUAUCCACAGUUUACAGAUGGGUAAAGAAACAGGCAAACAAUCAGGUGAAAAACAAUUUAGUUCCCUCAUUAGUUGUUUUGUCUUCAUGAUCCCAUGUUUUUGUUUUAUUUUAUUUAUUUGUUUGUUUGUUUAUUUAUUUAUUUAUGGCUGCUUUGGGUCUUCGUUGCUGCGUGCGGACUUUACUAGUUAGGGCAAGUGGGGACAACUCUUCUUUGCGGUGUGCCAGCUUCUCAUUUCAGUGCUUUUCUUGUUGAAGAUCACGGACUCUAGGUGCGCAGGCUUCAGUAGUGGUGGCGCACGGGCUUAGUUGCUCCGCGACCUGUGGGAUCUUCCCAGACCAGGGCUCGAACCCGUGUCCCCUGCAUUGGCAGGUGGAUUCUUAACCACUGCACUGCCGGACACAUUGAAAGGAACAUUGAUUUUUUUUAACCCUGAAAACCAAUUAGUAGAGCAUAAUAAUGCCCUUGUCUCCUGAACAUGAAUGCCCAUUCCACUGGGGAGUAACCUACUUACCUGGAAAACAGGAGUUUUCAAUCUAUCUUUUUGGACGUGUCGCGUCUUAAAGGACGGUUAUCUUGGAGAAGGGAUUUGAUGUUGGUGUUGAAGAAAGCUCAUCAAUGGCUUGGCAAGAAAUAAGAGAUGAAGAGUUCUGGAAGCCUGUAAAGAAAAGCUCAUAGAAGAGAACAGACAAGAGAAAUAAUUGUGUCUGGUGCCUCUACCUACCCCCCAAGCCAUGCUGAGAGAAGCAGAAGUGAGAACCGGCACAUGGCAGAAAGUUUUCCAGUAAGGUACUGUUUCUGUCAUCACGUUAGUGUGACUGACCCGGUGAUGUCUCAGAGUGGGUUUAGAGGCAGCGAGAUGUGUGUAUCAGAAUCAACUAGGGAGAUUUGUCAAGCCACUCCCUGGGUUGCUCCUUCCUUCCAUCACCUGUUGAGAACCACUGUAACUGAAGAAAACUUCAGUGACUAGUUCCAGCAGGUAUGGGACAUAAAUAUUGGGUUCUAAAGAGUGGA